UGCUCAGAUGUUGGCACAGCGCCAACGGGAGCUGUACAGUCAGCAGCAUCGACAGAGGCAAAUUAUCCAGCAGCAAAGAGCCAUGCUCAUGAGGCACCAAAGCUUUGGGAACAACAUCCCUCCUUCAUCCGGACUCCCAGUUCAAAUGGGGAACCCCCGUCUUCCUCAGGGUGCUCCACAGCAGUUCCCCUACCCACCAAACUAUGGUACAAAUCCAGGAACCCCACCUGCUUCUACCAGCCCUUUCUCUCAACUGGCAGCAAACCCUGAGGCAUCCUUGGCCACCCGCAGCAGCAUGGUGAACAGAGGCAUGGCAGGGAACAUGGGAGGACAGUUUGGUACUGGCAUCAGUCCGCAGAUGCAGCAGAAUGUCUUCCAGUACCCAGGGUCAGGACUGGUUCCCCAAGCUGAGGCCAACUUUGCCCCAUCUCUAAGCCCUGGGAGCUCCAUGGUGCCGAUGCCAAUCCCUCCUCAAAGCUCUCUGCUCCAACAAACUCCACCCACUUCUGGGUACCAGUCACCGGACAUGAAGGCCUGGCAGCAAGGAACAAUGGGAAACAACAAUGUGUUCAGUCAAGCCGUCCAGAGCCAGCCUGCCCCUGCACAGCCAGGAGUGUACAACAACAUGAGCAUCACCGUGUCCAUGGCAGGUGGAAACGCAAACGUUCAGAACAUGAAUCCAAUGAUGGGCCAGAUGCAAAUGAGCUCUCUGCAGAUGCCAGGGAUGAACACUGUGUGCUCUGAGCAGAUGAAUGAUCCAGCACUGAGACACACAGGCCUCUACUGCAACCAGCUCUCAUCCACUGACCUUCUCAAAACCGAAGCAGAUGGAAACCAGGACAAGAAGACAGAAGAGUUCUUCUCUGUGGUGACUACAGACUAGAGGAGCUCUACAGGUGCAGCAGCUUCAGGUGUUUGCUGACGUCCAGUGUACAGUGAACCUGGUAGGCGGGGACCCUUACCUGAACCAGCCUGGUCCUCUGGGAACUCAAAAACCCACGUCAGGACCACAGACCCCCCAGGCCCAGCAGAAGAGCCUCCUUCAGCAGCUACUGACUGAAUAACCACUUUUAAAGGAAUGUGAAAUUUAAAUAAUAGACAUGCAGAGUUAUACAAAUAUAUUAUAUAUUUUUCUGAGAUUUUUGAUAUCUCAAUCUGCAGCCAUUCUUCAGGUCGUAGCAUUUGGAGCAAAAAAAAAAAAAAAAAA
rnacentral:lncRNA from 1 species